CAUGGAAUUUUACUUUAUAAAAUGCUUUAACCAGCUAUUGCUAUAUUUUAUUGUGAUUUAGUAUAAACCACUUGGAGUUUUUCACUGAAACAGGAAAAUGAUAUAUGAACUAUUUCUGUGGAUGAAGGGUGUAUCAUCCUCUAGGCUCCUGCUAUUUCUGUGAAGUCACACACCUUCAUCUUUUUCCUCAAGCAAUAAAGCCUAUUUGCCUAAUGAAGAGCUCUUAAAACUCAAAAAUUUGAAUGUAGUUUUGUGGCACUUUGGUGUGAAUAAAGGCAGCACCUACCUGGUAUUGGCUCAAGAAGGCUGAGGAGGAUCAUAACUGCUUAGGAGUUGGAUGGGAAACCACAGAGAAAUGUAAACAUGUUGGCUCAACUGAUAAGGGAAAGAAAUUAUGGAAGAAAGCAAUGGCAAACCAUUUCUGUGUUGUUGCCAAGAAAACAGUGGAAAUGUGUCCAUGCACAAGCAGCUUUCAAGCUCAAUUUGAAAACAGGUUUACCAUAAUAAAUGUAUCAUACAACU